rnacentral:rRNA from 1 species
CCUACGGGAGGCAGCAGUAGGGAAUUUUGCGCAAUGGGCGAAAGCCUGACGCAGCAACGCCGCGUGAUCGAGACGCCCUUCGGGGUGUAAAGAUCUGUCAGUGGGGACGAAACUUGACGGUACCCACAGAGGAAGCACCGGCUAACUCCGUGCCAGCAGCCGCGGUAAUACGGAGGAUGCGAGCGUUAUCCGGAUUUCUUGGGUUUAAAGGGUGCGCAGGCGGCGAGUUAAGUCAGCGGUAAAAUUUCGGGGCUCAACCCCGACAAGCCGUUGAAACUGGCUUGCUAGAGUGGGCGAGAAGUAUGCGGAAUGCGUGGUGUAGCGGUGAAAUGCAUAGAUAUCACGCAGAACUCCGAUUGCGAAGGCAGCAUACCGGCGCCCAACUGACGCUCAGGCACGAAAGCGUGGGUAUCGAACAGGAUUAGAUACCCUGGUAGUC